rnacentral:rRNA from 1 species
AGAGUUUGAUCCUGGCUCAGAAUGAACGCUGGCGGCGUGCCUAACACAUGCAAGUCGGAUGUGCCGCAAGGUGCAUGGCAGGCGGGUGAGUAACGCGUGGGGAAUCUACCUCUUUGUGGGGAAUAACGCUCCGAAAGGAGUGGUAAUACCGCAUGAGACCUUCGGCUGGGAUGCUGGAGGUGAAACCUGGGGACCGCAAGGCCUGGGGCAAGGAGAGGAUCCUGCGUCUGAUUAGCUAGUUGGCGGGGUAAUGGCCCACCAAGGCGACGAUCAGUAGCCGGCCUGAGAGGGUGAUCGGCCACACUGGAACUGAGACACGGUCCAGACUCCUACGGGAGGCAGCAGUGGGGAAUUUUGCGCAAUGGACGAGAGUCUGACGCAGCAACGCCGCGUGGGUGAUGAAGGUCUUCGGACUGUAAAACCCUGUCGUCAGGGACGAAGGUGGCACGACUAAUAAUC